GGAACAUAGAGCUUGCUCUUUGUAACCGAGUGGCGAACGGGUGAGUAACACGUGACUAACCUGCCUUCGAGAGGGGGAUAACCUGGGGAAACCCGGACUAAUACCGCAUAUAGUCCAAGAGUCUUAUGUCUCAUGGAUAAAAGAGAGCCUCUGCUUGCAUGCUCUCACUCGAAGAGGGGGUCGCGGCGUAUCAGCUAGUUGGUGGGGUAAUGGCCUACCAAGGCGACGACGCGUAGCGGGUCUGAGAGGACGAUCCGUCACAUUGGGACUGAGAUACGGCCCAGACUCCUACGGGAGGCAGCAGUGGGGAAUAUUGCGCAAUGGCCGAAAGGCUGACGCAGCGACGCCGCGUGUGGGAGGAAGCCUUUCGGGGUGUAAACCACUGUCUGGGGGGAAGAACUUCGUGGGUGUUAAUAACACCUACGGUUGACGGUACCCCUAGAGGAAGCGCCGGCUAACUCCGUGCCAGCAGCCGCGGUAAGACGGAGGGCGCAAGCGUUGUUCGGAAUUACUGGGCGUAAAGGGCGGGCAGGCGGUCUGUUAAGUCUUUUGUGAAAAUCCGGAGCUCAACUCCGUGAAAUGCAGAAGAUACUGGCAGGCUGGAGACCGGUAGAGGCUAGCGGAAUUCCUGGUGUAGCGGUGGAAUGCGUAGAUAUCAGGAAGAACACCUGUGGCGAAGGCGGCUAGCUGGGCCGGGUCUGACGCUGAUCCGCGAAAGCGUGGGUAGCAAACAGGAUUAGAUACCCUGGUAGUCCACGCCGUAAACGAUGGGCACUAGAUGCCGGGUAUAUAGACGUAUUCGGUGUCGUAGCUAAC
rnacentral:rRNA from 1 species